UCAAGCAAUCCUCCCAUCUCAGCCUCCUGAGUAGCUGGACCACAAGCGCACACCACCACACGCUCUAAUGACGCCACAAUAGGAACAAGCCAAUAGCCGUGACGCGACUCAGUGACGCGAGACGCGGGGUGUGGCUNNNNNNNNNNNNNNNNNGAUGAGGCGGCUGCCCGCUGGGUGGCGCCGAUUUCCCGGGGAAGUCCCUUCUGGGCCCCCGGCGGAGGUGGGAGAGAGUCAGGCAGGAGCCAAGGCCGGGGAGCCCUCUUCGUCAGCUGGUGCUCACUGCGCCGCGCCAGCGCCAGCCGGGACUCACCCGCAGCUCCAUGCUUGUGCCCGGUUCGACUCGUCCAUCCUCCAAGAAGAGGCAGGUACGUGCCACCUGUCGGGGAUCCGGGAGGGGGGAUUCGGGGAUCAGUGCCGGUUUGGAGCUCAGAAAGUAAGGUGUCCACGACAUUCUGGGCAGAGGGGACACUAGAAAUAUAGGGAGAGAGCCGGCUGUGCAGGGACGCUCCAGCUGUGUCUGCCAGUUGUGUGAGGGCUGCCUGCUGACAGCCCAGGGUGCCAGGAAGAGCCAACUGUGUGCUGAUCAGUGUAUUCUAAGGAAAUGCUGCUUUGGCGGGUCCUCCUCGCUGUGCCCCGUGUAUAUCGGUGGUAUGUGGCCUGAGAGCGACACUGACAAACCCCCUCCCCACGUGUGCGUGCAGCUCACUCGCUGCUCUUAAAGCUCCCGGGUCAGUUUGCUAAAGGGGGUUAGGGGCGGGGGGUGGGCAACAAUUAAGCGGAAGGGGAGAUUUUCCACCAAUCCCAAACCAGAAAGAGGCAGCUUUGAAAUUCUCACCAGUCCCAAACCAGAAGCAGGCACGCGGUGCUCCGGAGAGAGCAACUUCUCAACAGUCAAGGGAAGCCCUAGCCAACCCAUUCUAGCCCUUCCCUGAAGAGUGAACAUCCUACCUCCUGACCUGGCUGCCUUUAGAAUGGGACUGAGCUGGAGGUAGUGGUAGGGGCUGCUCACCUCCCCUGGAAUGGGCAUGAGAACAUCCCCCAGAUGGACUCCCGUAAAGCAGAGGAAAGGAGAGCUGAUUGGGCUAAGGUCGAGGCAGGCCCCCUCCUUUGAUGCUGUAGAUGCAUGUCAGACUGGAGUCAGAAUGAGGACUGGAAUGAGGGCGUCCUCUGAAGUGCAUCAUUAGGACCUGGGCUGAGUCAGUAGCCUGUGCUAAGACAGGGUGGAGGCACCAGGCUGGGUACUCCCAGUCCUCGGGGAGAGCCAUCGAGAAACGUCCUGGGAGCAGACAAGUGCACCAAGGCCAGAGAGGCUAAGAACCCUGUUCCUUCCUCUUGUGACCCUGCCCAGCCCGGCUCUGUGGCCCUGGAAUCCUGAGCCCUCCCACAGGUAGAGUGGAACCACCCCAGAGGGGCCAAGCAUUCUCCUGGUGGCCUGGGGGAAGCUUCGCUUGCCGUAUUUUUCUAGGCAAAGGGGGAAGGAGCCCAGAUGGGCUUGGCCUUUCUCUGCUUGGUGGACUGGACAUCUAGGAAGAUGGCAAGCCUUGUUUGCCCUUCCCAGUUAUGGGACAUGGUCAGUUCAGAAAACCAAGGGACUGUUCUCUGGCAUUAGAAAGGCACACUUCCGGCCAGGAGCAGUGGCUCAAAGUACAGUAAUCCCAGCACUUUGGGAAGCUGAGGCAGGUGGAUCACCUGAGGUCAGGAGUUCAAGACCAGCCUGGCCAACAUGACGAAACCCUGUCUCUACUAAAAUACAAAAACUUAGCCAGGCAUCGUGGCACACACCUGUAGUCCCAGCUACUCAGGAGGCUGAGGCAGGAGAAUGGCGUGAACCCAGGAUGCGGAGCUUGCAGUGAGCCAAGAUCGCGCCACUGCACUGCAGCCUGGGCGACGGAGACUCCGUCUCAAAAAAAUAAAAAAGAGAAAGGAACACUUCCCCAGGAGUAACCCUCCUUUUCUCCCUAGGAAGGUUCACCUGGUAAGGCGCUAUUAUUAAUAAUACCACUAAUUAUAAUAAGAAGUGGAAGUAUUCAAUAUAAUCAUCAAUGUUUAUUGAACUCUUACUAUGGGCCAUGAAAUUUACAAAUAUUAUUUUAUUUAAUCCUCACAACUGAGAUAGACCACUAUUAUUACUAUUAGUCCUGUUUUGCAGAUUAAAUAGCUAAGGUUCAGAGAACUUAAGUGACUUAUCCACUAUUUCAGAGCCAAAAAGGGAAAGAACUAGCCUCCAAUCCCAGGCCUAGAAGUCCAUUAGAAAAGAAUAUUGGACUGAAACCUGAGUACUAGUCCCCUUUCUGCUUCUCGCUAUCUGCACAUGCCCUUGAGCAAGCUGCUUUCUUUCUCUAGGUCUACUCUAUCUCAAAAUUAAGAGUGGGGCUAACUGUAUGGCUUCUUCCUGUUCUCUAAUUCUGUGACUGACUGCUCCGGAAAAUCCACUUUCUCCAUAUUUUUGUCUCAAGUUCCACCCCCACCCCUCUGUGCUCUUUUCAAUCCUCUUUACUCUUGAAUCUCCCGAUUGUUCCCCUUCAAAAUGCCCCCCUUCCAAGAGUCCUCACAGACCUCCUUGGCUGGCACUGGCCCGAAAGAGCAGCCCCUCAAGGUGAGCACGCCACUGCCCCUUUAAUUCUCCUGGGGCUUGGAAUGCAAGUGAGUUGCACUCGCCAUCUCUGCGAGUCUGCGAGGUCAGAUAAGAUACUAUAUAUAUCGGAGUCAGUAACCUGAGCUCCGGAUUACCCAGCCCAGAGUCAGGCUCCAGCUUCUGGGCUUUCCACUGCAUUCCCUGCCCUGCUGGGGAAGGAGAAGCCCCCAGCUCCCAUCCAGUGCCCCUGGACGCAGGUCAGUAGCUGCCCCUUUGGUAUCUGAGCUUCUCUGGGACUCUACCUAGAGGAAAGACAUCAGUGAAUCUGGGAGAGCAUGUGAGAGGCCACCCCAUUGGACCUGGU
rnacentral:lncRNA from 1 species